rnacentral:ncRNA from 1 species
UCCGGGGAGCCCGAGUUCGGGCUGAGAGGGGGCCGCGGUGGCCCCGACCCAUUGAACCUGAUCCGGUCAGUACCGGCGUAGGAACGUGAU